AUGUCGAAUAAAUAGAGCGCCA
rnacentral:snRNA from 1 species